ensembl:lncRNA
GGGGACCCGUAUCUAAUCUUUGCCUUUCAGUGAAAAGGAAUGUGAAUUGUCACACAGGCUGCUAAAACAAGGCCAGCUGUUUGUCAUCUCCUUGAGCAGAAUUGGGUCUUAGUUGCAGUGCUCAGGGUUCUCUGAAUAUGGUGCACGGGCUUUGCUGCCCUGAAGCAAAUGGGAUCUUAUGUCCCCAACCAGGGGUCAAACCCAUGUCCCCUGCAUUUCAAGACUAUAUAAAUGAUGUUAGACAAAAAGCAAAUUUGAGCAAUUUUUUUGAGUUCAAAAUGGGUCAUAAAGCAGUGGAGACAACUUGCAACAUCAACAACGCAUUUGGACCAGGAACUGCUAAUGAAUGAACAGUGCAGUGGUGGUUUAAGAAGUUUUGCAAAGGAGACGAGAGCCUUGAAGAUGAGGAGGGUAGUGGCCAGCCACUGGAAGUUGACAACAACCAUUUGAGAGCAAUCUUCAAAGCUGAUCCUCUUACAACUACAUGAGAAAAAAAUAACUCAACAUUGACCAUUCUAUGUAGAGUCACAUGGCAUUUGAAGCAAAUUGGGAAGGUGAAAGUCUUGAUAAGUGGGUGCCUCAUGAGCUGACUGCAAGUCAAAAAAAUCAUCACUUUGAAGUGUCAUCUUCUCUUAUUCUAUGAAACAAUGAACCAUUUCUUGAUUGAAUUGUGAUGUGUGAUGAAAAGUGGAUUUUAUAUGAAAGCCAGCAAUGACCAGCUCAGUGGCUGGACCGAGAAGAAGCUCCAAAGCACUUACCAAAGCCAAACUUGCACCAAAAAAAGGUCACAAUCCCUGCUUGGUGGUCUCCUGCCUGUUUGAUCCACUACAGCAUUCUGAAUCCCGGCAAAACCAUUACAUCUGAGAAGUGUGCUCAGCAAAUCAGUGCGCUCACCAACAACUGCAAUACCUGCAGCCAGCACUGGGCAACAGAAUAAGGCCAAUUUUUCUCCACAACUGUUGGUGGAGUGUUGAACUGCAACCAACACUUCAAAAGUUGAACAAACUGUGCUACAACUUUUGCCUCAUUUGCCAUACUCAGCGGACCUCUCCCCAACACACUACCACUUCUUCAAGCAUCUUGACAACUUUUAGCAGGGGAAAUAACUUCCACAACCAGCAGAAUGCAGAAAUUUGGUCUUGGAAAGCAGCUUUCCAAGAGUUCAUCGAAUCCUGAAGCAUGGAUUUUUAUGCCACAGAAAAAAACAAACUUAUUUCUUGUUGGCAAAAAUAUGUUGAUUGUAAUGGUUCCUAUUUUGAUUAAUAAAAAUGUGUUUGAGCCUAGUUAUAAUGAUUUAAAAAUUAUGGUCUGAAACUGCAAUUACUUUUUUAUCAACUUAAUAAGAACACUCAUGCUGUAACUAAUAUAAAUAAAUAAAUAUUAAAAAAAAAAAAGAAAAGCAGCAUUUUCAAAAAGUGAAAAAAAUAGACCACAGAUUGGGUAAAGAGUAUAUAUAUACAUAUAUACAAACAUAUAUUUCCAGAAUAUAUAAAGAACCUCUGUAAUCAAAUUAAAAAAUUAAAGACAAUCCAAUGGAAUAAUGGUAACAGACAUAAAGCAGUAAUCCACACAGGAAGAUACAUUGAAUGGCUACAGGAAAAGAUUUGGAGAAGGAAUGGCAAUCCAUUCCAGUAUUCUUGCCUGGAGAAUUCCAUGGACAGAGAAUGGCAGGUCGUGGGGUUGCAAAGAGUCAGAUACGACUAAGCUACUAACACAUAGGAAAAGAUUGCCAGCAAUUUCACCUGGUUCAACCUGACAGUUGCCAAGAGUCUGCUGAAAAGCACAG